rnacentral:rRNA from 1 species
GAUGAACGCUGGCGGCGUGCCUAACACAUGCAAGUCGAACGUGAGGGAAUACUUGUAUUCCUGAAAGUGGCGAACGGGUGAGUAACACGUAGGUAACCUGCCGCGUAGUGGGGAAUAACGACUGGAAACGGUCGCUAAUACCGCAUAGGUCUGGGGGCACGGGAGUGCUUUUGGGCAAAGCUUUAGCGCUACGCGAGGGGCCUGCGUCCGAUUAGCUAGUUGGUGAGGUAAAGGCUCACCAAGGCGAUGAUCGGUAGCUGGUCUGAGAGGACGAUCAGCCACACGGGAACUGAGACACGGUUCCGACUCCUACGGGUGGCUG